UACGGGGGGAGCAAGCGUUGUUCGGAUUUACUGGGCGUAAAGGGCGCGUAGGCGGUCAGCACAAGUCAGUUGUGAAAUCUCCGGGCUUAACUCGGAAAGGUCAACUGAUACUGUGCGACUAGAGUGCGGAAGGGGCAACUGGAAUUCUCGGUGUAGCGGUGAAAUGCGCAGAUAUCAGGAAGAAUAUCCGUGGCGAAGGCGGCUCUCUGGUACGGCACUGACGCUGAGACGCGAAAGCGUGGGGAGCGAAGCAGG
rnacentral:rRNA from 1 species